rnacentral:rRNA from 1 species
AACGAACGCUGGCGGCAUGCCUAACACAUGCAAGUCGAACGAGACCUUCGGGUCUAGUGGCGCACGGGUGCGUAACGCGUGGGAACCUGCCCUUAGGUUCGGAAUAACUCAGAGAAAUUUGAGCUUAUACCGGAUAAUGUCUUCGGACCAAAGAUUUAUCGCCUUUGGAUGGUCCCGCGUAGGAUUAGCUUGUUGGUGGGGUAAUGGCCUACCAAGGCGACGAUCCUUAGCUGGUCUGAGAGGAUGAUCAGCCACACUGGGACUGAGACACGGCCCAGACUCCUACGGGAGGCAGCAAUGGGGAAUAUUGGACAAUGGGCGAAAGCAUGAUCCAGCAAGGCCGCGUGAGUGAUGGAGGCCUUAGGGUUGUAAAGCUCUUUUACCAGGGAUGAUAAUGACAGUACCUUGAGAGAAAGCUCCGGCUAACUCCGUG